rnacentral:lncRNA from 1 species
UAUGUCUCUUGUUUCCGAAGAAGAACUAUGCUUGAAAUGUAAAACAACCACUCUUUCUUUCCUUCUUUGAGCAUCUCAUUAAUACUUUGCAUGUACUACAUCCUCACGUUUUUUCUUGUCUUCUUUUCUCCAUAUUUAAAAAUUAGUUACAUAUAUAUAUAUAUAUUAGAAGGUUUGGAGGUGAUGUACAGGUAUUAUAUAUUAGAACAAAUAAGGUACUCAGAAACUUGGAUGGUUGCACAUUUACAAAUUUUUAUUAAUAUGUCGUUUUUAUAAAUCAUAUAUUGGCACUUGCAUCUACUCUAGUAGAUUCUUAAGAUAUAUGAUUUAUAAAAAUAUGUGACAUAUUAAAAAUCUGUAAAUGUACAACCAUCCAGAUUUCUGAGUACCUUAUUUUUUCUAUUAUAUAUAUAUAUUAGAAAAAAUAACACCCACACACACACAUAUGUGUGUGUGUUUGUCCACCUUUUACUGUUUGACAACUGGUGUUAAUGUGUUUACGUCCCUGUAACUUAGCAGUUCAGUAAAAAGGAAUGAUAGAAUAUCAGGCUUUAAAAAGAAGUCCAGUGGUUGAUUUGUUUGCUUAAAACCCUUCAAAGCAGUGCUCCAGCAUGGCUGUGGUCAAAUAUAUUUAUUUUUUCAAUACAAUUCCUAAUAAUAUUUAAUUACAAAAGUAUAGUGAGAUUUUAAACAUGAAAUGACUGAGGGUCCAUCUGAGUAAAAUUGCGAUCAAAGAGGUCCAUAGGCAAGAAAUGGUUGAGAACCAUUGAUGUAGGCAAUCAAGUUAUUUAGAAAGGGACCAUUUCAAACUACUGGUAUAGCAGUAUCAUCAUUAACCGCUAGAAGAGCAAAAGCGGUUCACUUAGAGAGAAAGAAAAUAAGAAGAGCAUGAAACAGAUGGACCGGUAGCAAAAAGAAUAUAGCACAAUUAAUUAAGACGAAAAUUAACUUACAUAAGAUGGAGCUUGGAGUACCAGUGACUACAGGAGUUGUUUUUAGUAAAGUGCAACCCAUUACACUAAGCAUUGUGGAGGCGCAAUGGCCCAGUGGUUAGGGCAGCGGACUCGCGGUCAUAGGAUCGCGAUUUCGAUUCCCAGACCGGCCAUUGUGAGUGUUUAUUGAGCGAAAACACCUAAAGCUCCACGAGGCUCCGGCAGGGGAUGGUGGUGAUCCCUGCUGUACUCUUUCACCACAACUCUCUCUCUCUCUCUUACUUCCUGUUUCUGUUGUACCUGUAUUUCAAAGGGCCGGCCUUGUCACUCUCUGUGUCACGCUGAAUAUCCCCGAGAACUACGUUAAGGGUACACGUGUCUGUGGAGUGCUCAGCCACUUACACGUUAAUUUCACGAGCAGGCUGUUCCGUUGAUCGGAUCAACUGGAACCCUCGUCGUCGGAACCGACGGAGUGCUUCCAUCCACACUAAGCAUUCACUGAUUUGGAGAAGGUCUUCAACAGUGUACUACUCUCUAUAGUGUGGUUAUUAAGAAAACUUGUGUAGAUAGUUUGUAAGAGCUGUGUAAAUAUGUACAGAGAUGUCUGCAAGGUGAGACCAACUUAGGAUAUAGACCUAAUUCUAACCCAGCCCCCUAUUCUCCUGGUCAUAACAGAAGUGUUUAAGACUAGCUGUCUGCAGGAACUCCUCUAUGCCAAUGAACUAAAAUAUAAAUGAAUCUAAAACAAAAUAUUGCUCUCAAAACAACACGAGAGAUGAAAGAGUGGCUGGUCAGUAAAAGUAUCAGCUGACUGUAUAUUAAGAAAAGGUGUUAGUGCUGGUUGAAUACAAAUCAAACAUAAAAUCUGUUGGGUAAUGAAAAUGCUAAAUGCCAAAGUGGAAUGCCUCUGAGCCAGAGGAAGAAGUCGCUAAGUCACAGAUACAAAAAUAACUUGGAAUUAAGGAGAGUCCCUUAUUAAUUAACCAACUAGACAGCUAGUUCGACUUGGCUAACCUAGGAUUGGCUAUCUAUCUUAAAAAUGUGGUAAUAUUUAAUCUGAUUUCUUUGUGUGUGAGUCUGGCAACAGAAAUAGCAUGCAGGUAUGAAAUAUUCUUUUCUACUCUAGGUACAAGGCCCAAAAUUUUUUGGGAAGGGAGCCAGCCGAUUAGAUUGACCCCAGUACACAACUGGUACAUAAUUUAAAUUUAUCCCCGCCAAGGAUGCAAGGCAAACUUGAUCUUGGCAGAAUGUAAAGACAGAUGAAAUACUGCUAAGCAUUUUGCCCGGUGUGUUAAUGUUUCUACCAGCUUGCUGCCUUAUCCAGGUAUCAAAUAUUGGCAACAGAAAGGGCAUCCAAGCAUCAUCUAUAAGAAUUCAUCUUUAUCACUAUCUAAAUAUUCAUAGAGAUGCGUCUUUUCUCCUUUCUUAACCCCACUCUCUUUUAUUUAAAUUCUGUAAUGUGUCACUCUGGUAAUACAGAAAACAAAUAAGACCAGUUUCUUUUGGCAUCAGACAAUACCUUGCUCCUACUAUCAACCUACAGGACAUGAACUUCUCUAUUCACUACAAAACACUACUAAUCUUUGACUUGAAAUUCUCUUAUUAACCCUCUCUCAUUCUCAUCAUUUAAAAUCUGUAGAAACUCUGCCAGAUCAAGACUGGAGCCUGGUGCAGCCAUCUGGUUGCCAGCCCUCAGUCAAAAUCGUCCAACCCAUGCUAGGAUGGAAAACGGAUGUUAAACAAUGAUGAUGAUGAUGAAAGGUAAUCAGUGCAAGACCAUCCCAUUUGAAAAUAGUUAAUCACUGUAGUGUGACUGAAAAGUGACAGCUUGCAUUGUUUAAUGUAAACAUAGAAAUAUGUCAGAGGCAGCUCCUAUACCCAGUGGUUUUUACUGUCACUAAGAACUUCCUGGUCAAUAACCACCUGUCCUCUGGCUGGCAACAAGCUGAAUAUGUUGGCCUAUAAGUAUUGAAAUAAAGCCUAAUGUAGGGAAAGGUUUCUCUGUAGACCCUUCACAGAUUACUCUGGUGAUGUAUCUAGAUAUGUUAUUGGAUGUGAAAUAAAUGUACAGAGACAACUUGGAGAUGAAGGAACGCACUUUGGUCUUCUGAGGGAUAAGACAAACUUUUUGAUGCUAGUGAAUGGACAAGUGGAUAUAGUGUAAUGCAGAGAGAAUUCCUUGGUCUUUCUGUAAACAAGGCAACGUCUCUGGUACUGAUGCCAUUAUAAGAUGUAUCCAGUACACUUUGUAAAGUGGUUGAUGAUAGGAAGGACAACCACUCAUAAAAAUUAGGCUGCAAAAUGAAAUGAGUGAAUGAGAUGUGAUUCCUAAUCUAAGAGGGCAAUAUUUUCAAAUAAGAACUGGUUCAGAUUGUGGUAACCCAACUCAAUCCUGCAAGAAAAAGUAGGCAUUUCACAAUUUGUCAUGUCCUUUAGCAAUUUGUCAUGUUCUUUAGCAUCCUAAAAUCAGCUUUCACCACUUUUGCUUAUGUUUUCUUCCUCGGUCUUCCACUUGGAUUUCCUGUCACUUCUUUUCUUAAUUGUCAUCAUUCAGGGUUGCUGAAGCGUGGAAUAAACUGCCUGCAUCAGUUGUUGACUGCCAUGACACUGCAUCCUUUAAGGCCCUCAUGCUUCCCGAAAUCCGUCGAAACUACACCUGAUUAUAUAUACACUUUAGAUGAGUUGUAGUGCACCUGAGCACUGUACACAAUUAUUAUUAUUAUUAUUAUUAUGUGCAUAAGAUGUCCAUACCAGUGCAGUCUUCUCUCUUGCACUGUUCUGCUGAAUCCUCUUAUACCCACUAGGGCCUUAUCAAUUCACAUACACUAACAUUACAUACCCAGUGGAACAUGCUUGCUUUCCAGCCUUUGCUCAUUCUCCACAUCAAGCCCCAUGUUUUAUUCUCAUGCAGCAACAUCACAUCACACACAAAUAUCAUACAAUUUGUCUUUGGGUCAAAAAGAGAAUCUCUUUGUUGCCAGUGGGGUUAUUAGCUUCCUGAGCAUUUUCCACCCUGUUCUUAUUAACUCUGAUAUGUUCAGGUUACCCUCCUCUACUACUGGUUUGCUCACCUAGGCUAGUGGUUAUUAAGCCUAUUUUGUCACGAGGUACUUAAAUAAUUUUUCCCAAAAUCACAGAACCCAUACAUAUAAUUUAUAGAUAACCCCUGCACUUUAAUUGUAAUGAAACAUCAGAUAAAGCAAAAAGCAAGAACUUUUAGAGAGAGAAUCUCUCUCAAACAUGUGUGCAUGCAUGCACGGACACACACACACACACACAACAUAACUUUGAGAGAUACAGACCUAAGAAUUUUAAAGAAUUUAUGUUACUCGUGUUCUAACUACUAAGUAUGCCUGUGCAUCUGCUAUAUAUAACAUUUUGUUUCUCUGUCAACUUGCCUGGGAUCCCACUACUUCUAAUGUGCACCUGUAGUUUACAUUAUGUACACCAAACUGUAAUUACAGCCACUCCUCUGCACACCAGCUUCACCCUUUUCUCUGAAUGCAGCAGGGUUCAGUCCUCUUUCCUACUUAUUAAAACUUCAAUCUUUGCUAAGCUUGCUCUGAGGCCUCUUGGCUCAAAGUUUUGCCUGGAACUUCUUCUCUAAAUCUCCCACAGAUUCAGUUAUAAUAACUAACCCUAUAGUAUAUUACAGAUCCUACAGAGAUCUGAUCAUAAAUUCCUCUCUUGUGAGCUGAAGAACUAUAAUUGAUAGUGGUAGGCUGAGAACAGAGCUUCAAAGAACACCAACUUAAACUGUAAAUUUCUCACAGAAUUCAUGGUUAAUCCUUGUGUUGCUAAUAGCUUGUACCUCUUAUAAGCUAUUCAUCGACAUUUUGUUUUCUAAAAGACUACUAGACUACAGAGCAUGGUACCCUGUCAGAGACCUCCUUCAGAUCAAUAGAUAGUGCAUUAUGUGGAUUACUCUGAGCUAAGAAUUCUCUUGCUGUUGUCUAUUGCAAGAAGAAGGCAUUAGACAUACCCUGAUCUGAAACAAGCCAAAACUGCAGUGCAUCAAAGUUAAUUGUCAUCCUGAUGAUCAGUUUACAAACAAAAUUUAACACACACAUAUAUAAAUACUUGUAUGCACAUAGUAUGUUUAAUGAUGGGAUAAUGUAGUUUUGUCAAAAUAUUUCUGCAAACCACACACUUAAUGUGAAAAAGAAAUUAAAAACACUUUAUUUCUUACAAGGUGUGCAUAUGCAACCUAUUCUGAUAUGUAUUUUGAUACAUUUAUUUACCUAUGAAUAUAUCCAUAAGAUUUAAUAUAGCAGUUAACAUUUACAGCUUUAUGGCAAUUAAGAUAGCUCUUAUGUUAUCGGUAGAUGAUUUUGUUCUUGACAAAGGUACAUAACUCUGGUUGCUCUAGUUUACUUGGGUUGAGUAAAAUUUUUUUGAUUUGUUCAGGGUAUGCUUAAAAGGAAAAUUUAGCUAUAAAAGAAAUCAGUUGUGACCUUCCAAUUUUUUUUUUAUCUAGACACAGAGUAUCGAAGACUAGCUUAUUUAACUUUAUUUUUGGUUCUGUAGCGACAGUCCAUUUAUUUAUGCAUUAUCUUUUACUUAUUUCAAUCAUUGGACAGUGACCAUGCUGGGGUACCACCUAUGACUUCUCAAAAUAAAUUAGUCAUUUGACCUAAACAACCACAUAUCCACAUCAGUGCAUCAGCCUCUCCUAUACACAUCAGUAUUCUUUAUAGUUUGCCUGCUAUUUCAAUUCAUUUUGUCCUCUGUAAAUUAAUUUUGUACAUCCAAGGGACCAGUUGAACACAUUUUCCUCCAGCCUUAGCUAAUCUGCAUUGUUUCUUAGUCUCAUAUCAGAGAACAUCAGAAAUCUUUAACACCAGGUCAGUAAUGAUUCAGGCGUCCUCUGAUCAAGGUUACACUUGUGACCAUCUCAUCUUUAUAUUCAGACACAAUCAUCAUUUAAUGUCUGUUGCCCAUGCAGGUUUCAUUGCUUUGUUGGUCACUGUUUAUAAUAAUAAUGAAAUUGUUGUAUACAGUGUUCAGGUGCACCACAACUUGCCAGAAAGUGCGUAUAAAGUGUAUGCAGUAAUGCAGAAAUGUCUGGAAAGCGAACAAUGUAUGAGUCAGAUACAUGCUUGUGUGUGUAUGGAGGGGAGGAAAUCAGGUGUAGUGUUGGCGAAUCUCAGAAAGCAUAGAAGUUUUGAAGGAUGCAGUGCUCCGACAACUAAUAACCGAUGCCGGCAGUUUGUUCCAUGCUUCAGCAACUCUCAGCGUGAAAAAAUGUUUCCUGAAGUCAUGGGAGCUGUGCUGUUUUCUGACUUUGUAAAUAUGUCCACGGGUGUUAGACGGGUGUUUGAUGGCAAAGAAGGCACAUUGGUAACAGACAGUUCUGAGGGGAAUAAAUCCAAAUGAUAAAUAAUCACUACUGUACUGUUGACAAAUUUUCUUGACUGGAGGCAUCAGUAAAGUGAAAAUGUGAAAACAAAUUUCUAUAGAUGGCAUCAGAAAGGCAGUAUGGUAUUCCCAAAGAGAAUAAGAAGUCAAUAGAGCAGAAUCAGAUGACAUGUCUUUAUUGGAGCCAAUACAGAUCUAGUUCAUCUGCCUGCCAGCAUUUCAAAAAUUAAAGUUUAUCAAGAAUUUUAAAAUUUGGCACAUUAAUGUACUUUUCCAAGCAAACUUGCUGGAGUUAUUCAACUUUUUCCAGAAAAAUGUUUUUAAAAACUUAUAUGAGAUUUAAAGUUUGAUCACUUAAAUCACCCAGUCAAGAAACACGAUUUCAAAGCUGUCAUUGUGUGCAUGACUGCACAUUUUGUCAACAUCCUGAAAAUAGCACUUGUGUUUUGAUAUGAAACCACAGAAUUAUGCAUGACAUAUAACCCCUCAUAACUCUUUUUUAUUUUUCAGAGUUUUGGGGAAAUUUUUGUGAAUUUGAAUUCUACACGUGGGACUUCAUACAAUUAUGCCGAAAAAAAAAAAGGUUAACAUUAACCAAAAAAAAAAAUAUUUGUAGUGGAGUGUGAUUUAAGGCCUAGGCCUAUUUGGCUGCAAUUUUUAGCAUGCAUGACAACCAUCUCAAUGAGUGUGACAAAAAUAUUUGAUUGAUAAACAAGUCUGCGUUUUAAAUACAAGGAACAUCUCAUGCGAGUAGUCAAAUCGAUAAAAGUGCAUCCUUAUUCUAGGCAUACCUAAAUAUUAGUAAAUGCA